rnacentral:rRNA from 1 species
AGUCACUGACAUUAGAUACCCCUGUAGUCCUAGCCGUAAACGAUACUCGCUAGGUGUCGGCCACGGUGCGACCGUUGCCGGUGCCGUAGGGAAGCCGUGAAGCGAGCCACCUGGGAAGUACGGCCGCAAGGCUGAAACUUAAAGGAAUUGGCGGGGAGCACCACAAGAGGUGGAGGCUGCGGUUCAAUUGGACUCAACGCCGGAAACUCAUCGGGAGCGACAGCAGUAUGAUUGCCAGGUUGAUGACCUUGCUUGACAAGCUG